rnacentral:rRNA from 1 species
UACGUAGGGGGCAAGCGUUGUCCGGAUUUAUUGGGCGUAAAGAGCGUGUAGGCGGCCAUACAGGUCCGUUGUGAAAACUGGAGGCUUAACCUCCAGACGUCGAUGGAAACCGUAUGGCUAGAGUCCGGAAGAGGAGAGUGGAAUUCCUGGUGUAGCGGUGAAAUGCGCAGAUAUCAGGAAGAACACCCGUGGCGAAGGCGGCUCUCUGGGACGGUACUGACGCUGAGACUCGAAAGCAUGGGGAGCAAACAGG